GACUGAAGCAAGGGCUGCCAGGAAGAACUGGAGUUUCUGGGGAAUAAAAGCUGGAAGCGUGCCCCCGAAAGUCCCCAGCCCCGGGUGGUCAGUGCGGUGGCCUUGGCCAGGAGCGGUCCUGCGGGAAGCACCUUUGCCCAGGCUGUAAUUUUAAUUUCCACUGGGUGCUGGCAAAGCCCCCCUGGGGGUGAGCCCCAGUGCCUGGCAGGAGCGGAGCGGGCUUACGGGGAGGUGUUCACCCGGUCAGCGUCAGGAACCAUCCUAACUGAGGCCUCGGCUGCCUCUUUCCCUUUGGUCGCCGUGUGUGUGCCGGACACCUCUGGCAGGACUAACCCUGUGGCUUUUAUGUCCAACGUGCUGUAUGCCUGCAGAGGAAAAAUGAUUGGUAAUUGCUUCUGAUCUGUGGAGAAUCUCCUUUGGAAUGAUCAAGCAGAGAGCGUACCAAGGCAAGCAGAGCAUUUCGUUUGGCUCUUUUUUUUUUUCUGGUUUGUCAUUUUCUGUUUGGCUUCAGUGUAUUUUGUGUGCUCCUGUUCAGGAGGCAGUGUAUUUUUACCUUGAAAUUCGGGGUGAUUUUGUUUGUUUGUUUAGGGUUUUUUUCUUUCCCAGUUGAAUCAGGCCUAGUCCGAUGUUGUCCUACAGGACUGCUUUGGUGCUGGGUCAGAGAGAGAGAAGGGGAAUGACUUUUCAUUCUCUUCCAAGCAGAAGUGGGAGGUUGUCUUGCCCCUCCCCAAAGCACUGCAGGCACAUGGGAGUAGCUCCUUGCUGGCCCACCCAGUUCUCUGAGAAACACCUGUGGGGGAGAGGUUUAAGUCUUAAUGACAAUGCUUUGGUCUCUUGGUGGCAAAGAGUGGGUCCUACAGUUCCAGCCUGAUGAGGGAGAACAGGAACCUCUGUUCUUCGUGCAAACCUUCUGUUACUCCUUGUGCAGUCUUUUCUUUCCGUUGUAUGUGUUACUGUCCAGAAUCUCUCUAAGGAAAGCUGUUAGAAAUUUAGAGGUAGGACUGGGAUUUGGGUCUGUUCCCUACAAACUGCUGCAAAGCCUGAAGGACCGGGCUGAUGACUGUUCUUAACAAAGGGGGUUUAUUAAUAUUCUGUCAGAUUUCCCUCAGCUCUGGGCAGGACAGGCAAGGGUUCGGGUCGGGAAUUGUGCAAGCAAGACCUGUUAUUUCUCCUGUGCGUGUGUCAGUUUGGCAGAGCUGGGACAAGGAGGACUCGUGCGGGCACCUCCAGAGACAGCGGGAACGGGAGCGUGCUGCAGAGAAGGAAAGUUCCAGGGGAAUUGCCACGAGAGGAAAUACCUCAGAGGGGCUUCCCUCCAGAUAAGCCCUGAAUAUGCCAGGAGGUUUCAGCCGGGAGAAAGGAGCUGUGGAAGAAAAGCAGCCUAAAAAUAGCCAGCGGGGAUCAUCAGGUUUUCCAGCCAAGAAAAACAAGGACGGAGAUGAGGGAAUUGGGUUCCAAUUCCUAAUGCUUUGGUGGGUGUAGGAAUGAUUUCUGUGUGUUUUCCAGUCCCUUUUGAUUCCUGGGAAGAUUUUAAAAUGAUGGCUUUAGCAAUCAACUAAAUUGGAGAUGUUGUUUUUGAGAGGAAAUGAUGCCAAAUAAAUGCAGAGAGAGAGCGUGGAAUCAUCUGGGGAUCCUGGAGUGGUUUGGGUUGGAAAGGAUCUCAGGGAUCAUCUCCUUCCAUCCCCUGCCACAGGCAGGGACACCUUCUAAUAGACAUCCAGCCUGGCCUUGGCCACUUGCAGGGAUGGGGCAGCCACAGCUUCUCUGUGCCAGGCCACCUCCCCACCCUCCCAGGGAAGAAUGUCUCCCUUAUGUGCAAUCUUUCCCUUUCUUCUCUGCAGGAAGUGGGCUGGGACAAGGGAAUUGGCUCCCACGAGGCUGAGGAUCAGAGCAGGCUCUGCACAGGGGACGACUUCCACUUCCGAACGGGGAAGGGCACCUUCAUCCCCACCCCCGACAUGGGGACGGAGUAACAUCUGCCUGCAGCUGGCUGGAGUUCCCCUUGGCUCUGGGCUCUCUGCCCACGGGCCGGGGAUCAUGGCCAGAGUCCUUCAAACCUGGGGCACAGUGGCCUUCACAGCAUCCCUGCAGCCCGUCCAGGGCAGGCUGCUGCCCAUCGGCCCCUGAUCACAGGUGGAUGUAGAAGUGAUGGUGUUUAGGGAAUGUUGAUUGUAUUUCCCUGACUUUAGCAACGUGGUCAUUAAAAAGAGAAAAAUAACAA